rnacentral:rRNA from 1 species
AUGGAUCCGGAGGUGUGGACGCCGCGUUCGGGAGGGCGGUCGAAGCCAACAAGCCGGAGCAGUAGCACCGGGAGCGGUGGGAGCCCAGGGUGUGGGAGCAACAUCGAGUACACGAGCCUACGCGACAUGAUGUUGGAAGGAGGCGGUGGCGGUGGCGGCGGCGGGGAGAACCAUGGCAGUGGCGGCUGUGCGUUCCGUGCGGGGAGCUGGAGGGACUGCAACAAUGACAACAUCCAUGAGUUCGACGCAUCCAACAUCGGUAUCCGGAACCAGCUGCUGAAGCACGCGGCCUCGGCGUACCUACAGUCGGCGGUGGUGGUGGGUGGCAGCGGCGGCGGGGCGCGCGAGGGCCAGGGGUGCUGCCUGGUACGCCUUUGGCAUCACAUUAGCGGCGGGCGUGGGCGCGGGCAUGUGCUAGAGGAGGCGUGCUCGUGGCAGGGGUGCGUCGACGAUCCCGCCGAAAUCUGCGCCGCUUUCGUCACCCAGUCUGCCCGCCGUGUCGCCGCCUUCUUCGCGGGCAUAUGGACCUAG